GGGUUGCAAACUGUGAGAGCAGCUCAUGUGCUGUCCUUGAAAGCAAUUCCUCUUACGGGUAUUUUGCGCCUAUUAUUUUGGAACCCAAAUUCCCCUAUCUGCAAAUGAUGCAAAGGUUUCUGUCGGUGAUUACUGCAUCCUAGGAGUGCCCUUGGCAAUCGGUCACCUCCCCGUGCAGAGCACAGCGCAGCGUCAGGGUGACGGAGCCGAAGCUCUCACUAAUGCAGUAGAUCAAUCACUUGACUGAAAGAUACACAGACACAGAAAACAUGCUUUAUACUUGUCAUAUUCAAGGGUAAACUUCCAGCGCUCGAGAAAGCUGCUCAGAUAAUUCUGAAAAGCAGACAGUCGUGCCAGCCUCGGUGUCUAAUCAAAAGAAAAAUGGGUUGUCUGUUUAACAGCACCAACACCUGGAGACUCCUCGGAGCAGUUAACCCAUGGGCGCAGAUCAAAGGCAUCUGGAGUUUGGCUGGGAACGCCUAUGAUUGAAAGCCCGUGAUGUAAAUGUGAGUCAUUGAAAAGCCAAGCCGAGCCAUCAAACACAAACCAGCGUCUACAUCCGGACAUAUCUGGGAACAGACACUGCACUUUUCAGGUGAUAAACAACCAGAGAACAUGAGCUCCCAGCACCAGCGAUCCUCCCGCCCUGUGCUGCUGCCUGCUUCCAUCCACCGGAAAGUUCUGCCCAACUUUAUUUGGGCAUUAAGAGCUGAAGGUCACACUGCGUGUCGCCGGGAUGACAGAUCUUAUAAGUGCUCCAGUAAUCCCUCCCGAGUGGCGCUGCCAUCGCAUACGUGGGAUUAAGAGACAUCCAAUGGUGUGGAAUGGUGAUGAGGUCCUCUGAGCAUCCACUUCUGCUGGUGAGGGCUGGGAAUGCAAUGAAUGGCAGCCAGGAAACGCCCGUGGUCACUGCUUUCAGACAGGAACAGAUGAAGGAGUAGCAUUAAUUGUUUACGAAUUGUUCGUUAAUUUGUUUACGAGGGUGGGUAGUGAUAGGACAAAGGGGAAUGGUUUUAAACUGAGACAGGGGAGGUUUAGUUUGGAUAUGAGGAGGAAGUUUUGCACCCAGAGGGUGGUGACGCACUGAACAGGUUGCCCAAGGACGCUGUGGAUGCCCCAUCCCUGCAGGCAUUCAAGGCCAGGCUGGAUGUGGCUCUGGGCAGCCUGGGCUGCUGGUUGGCGACCCUGCACAUAGCAGGGGGUUGGAACUGGAUGAGCAUUGUGGGCCUUUUCAACCCAGGCCAUUCUAUGAUUCUGUAUUACACUGCAAUUUGUCAGCACCUCUUCACUCUAUUAAGAAGGAUCAGCUGAUACUUCAGCAGCACAAACUGCAUCCUUGAGAGGAGGUUGGCCACUGCCUCGCCUCCACUUGCCUCAAGUCUUUGCCAUUUGGAACCAUGUCUCUUAAACCACUGUUGCAGCUCUCUGGUCUCAGUAUGGGAAGCGCUGAAUAUAAACAUUUCAUCACAUCUUAACUCUGCAGGGAAAGAUGGGGGAUUCUGGGGGGCUUCACAUGGAGUGGCACACAUUACACCAUUAAAGGCAAGAAGUGCUACGGCAGGGCUUCCAUUUCUGACCAGCGGGGGAAAAUAUCCUCAGACCGAGGCAGGCAUAUUUCAAUUCAAAAAGGGGAGCUUUCCCCUUUACCUUCACAGAAAGGACCAGAGAUCACAGCCCAGAUAUUCCAUCUUAAAUGGUAAAGGCACCCAGGAGAGGAAGGGACGCCUUCCAAGUAGGCAGACAGCAAAGGCAUUGCCUCGGCAGCUCUCGGACCCCCGGUGCCCUUUGCAGGCACUGCCUGCUCUGACAGCACAGCCUUCAGAGUGUGCAGCAGUGCAAAGUCCGGCAGAGAAGCAAGAGCAGGCUGUGCUGUGCAUGAAGCACAAGUGCAGCGAGCAGGGUCAGGAGGGACCCCUCGGAUUAUGACCUCGCUAUACAAAUACUGUCUUUAAUACACGUGCAGAACGGCCCUUUAAAGCAGCAAACGCCUUGAGUGCAAGCAGCCAAAUGAGAGCCCCGAACAACCUCCCCUAUCCGCACUUUUGUCUUUGUUACAGUGACCUCCAGAGGCACGAGGGAACAACUGAAGCUCCCGAGCAGCUCACAGCACCUAUUGGGCUGCACGCGAGAAGCGUGAGAUGGAAAAUCACACCGAAUAAAAGUAUUCCUGGACUCAAACCACACCCCCAGCCCGCAGCCUGCCCCCCAGACCCGGCUCUGCCCCCCAACCCCGGCUCUGCCAUUCCAGGCGCUGUAGUUUCAAUGGUGCAUCCACCCGUGCUUGCCGCUGCUGGAAGCACAGCUCCUAACGACCUGAGAGUGCUGGAGGGGAGGUGAAAAGCAAACCGCACAAAGCUACCAUCUCCCUCUGAAUAAACGCUACGCUGCUGAAGGAUUCGAACAAGGAACAUCUCCCCUGCAGCUUCAGCUGCACCGGAGCAGCUUGCAAUGGCAGCCCAGAGGCGCACCAUUCAUAACAGCAUUGCAAACGGGGAGGGGGGGGGGGGGUGUAGGGGAGCAAGCAUUGCAUUGCAUUGCAUUUCCUAACCUCGUUUUUAUUUCCUAAUAGAAUUUCCCAUCUCGGAUGGUGUUUAGAAAGAACAUUACGCAACAACUCAUUAAAUUCUUCAUAACUGCAGUACUUUAUUCCAGUUUAAAUUGCAGACAUAGCCUAUUUUUAUGCAAACAAAUACUUUCUGAACAACUUUGAGCUCCCAUGUACACUAAUUAAAUCUGUCACAUGCACAGUGGAACCUUAAAUUAUAUUUGUUCAAUCCUUCGGCAGUAAAUGGUGCUUUGAACUGAGUACACGAUGAAUGAAAUUGCAUUUCUUGUCCUGCUUAGGGGAAGGGAUGGGGAGUAGAACCAUAGGAUGGCCUGGGUUGAAAGGGACCACAAUGCUCAUCCAGUUCCAACCCCCCGCUAUGUGCAGGGUCGCCAACCAGCAGCCCAGGCUGCCCAGAGCCACAUCCAGCCUGGCCUUGAAUGCCUGCAGGGAUGGGGCAUCCACAGCUUCCUUGGGCAACCUGUUCCAAAGCAGCUUAAAUGCAAUUCUCUGCGGUUUUGUGCUCGGGCAGAAGUCAGCCCCACGUGUCACUGCGUCUGAAGGGGUGUUCUGUGCCAUGUGGGUAUUGCAGGGCACAGCUGGGGGCUGGGAGGGAAGCACCCAGCUCUGCUCUCCCUCCCAGCGCUUUCUUUAUCUGCGUGCAGGGAACAGCAAAGUGCUGAAGUGGUGUCUGGCUGGGAAAGCACAGCGCGCAUCCCUUGCCUUUAAGCAGCAGGAGUCAAUGGGGACGGUCCUUACUCCUAUAAUGCGCGCUGCGCUCCUCGCGGUCACAGUGUACUUCUGAUUGCCCCACGUUUCCGGGAGAUCAGCAUGCAUUAUUCAUAGCAGCAGACAGCUCCAACAAAAAAUACCCCUUCGCUUUGCAUCCCUCCUCUUUGCACUGCUUUUGAAGCACACAGAAGCUCAGCUCGGUGCUCUGCUCCAGGGAGCGAUGCCUGCAACCCAGCGCUGCUCCAGCAUCGCUGCUCUGCACACGGGGGCUUCAGAGCUCCUCCAUCCCACGUCCGGAUCAUCCCUUCAACUCAGUGUAUUUUUAGACACGCCAUUAAUAUUUAAGGAGGCAGCCCACAGCAAGUUAGAUAGCAUAGCAAUUAAUUUUUAACUGGUGACAUUUAUAACAGCAUGUAACUGCUACCUAACUUGCUGUGGGCUAUCUGGAUAAAUGUCAGUUAAAUAUCUAAUAAUUCCUUACAACUAAGUAUGAGCAUAAAAAAAAAAAAGAAAAA
ensembl:lncRNA